GUUAUGGCUAGGGGGUCAUUGCGACUUACCAAACCAUUGCAAACUCCGAAUACCGAUGAGUGCGAGCUUGGGAGACAGACGUCGGGUGCUAACGUCCGGCGUCAAGAGGGAAACAACCCAGACCGCCAGCUAAGGUCCCAAAGAUUGGCUAAGUGGAAAACGAAGUGGGAAGGCUAAAACAGUCAGGAUGUUGGCUUAGAAGCAGCCAUCAUUUAAAGAAAGCGUAAUAGCUCACUGAUCGAGUCGUCCUGCGCGGAAGAUGUAACGGGGCUAAGCCAGUCACCGAAGCUGCGGAUAUGUCUUUGACAUAUGGUAGGAG
rnacentral:rRNA from 1 species